AUGAUUAAGUUUUUAUCAUUAAUGCCAUCAAUUGUGUCCCACUACUCAGUUUUAUCAUUAGGAAUUUUAACUGCUCAAGAAUGUCAUUGCUUUGUUAGACACAUGCUCAAAAAUGCCACUAGCCACCAUUACUUCCAGCUCAGAGCCCGUUUAGUAUGCUAUAAUGACCAAAAUACUCAUAUACCAAGAUGCCAACUCUCCCUCUAUCUCACUAUGAUAAAAAGUGUGGGUUCCACUCGAUCCCCAAUAACAUUCUUAUUUUCCUCUAAACUUAUUCGGUUCUUACUUCUGAUAAGUGGGGCCCACACUUGUCAUUGUGGGAUAAAGAGAUCGAACAUGUGGUUCUAUGAGUAUUUUGUUCAUAUAACAUGGUCAACGGGUUUGACCUGA
rnacentral:rRNA from 1 species